AUGGCCUGGGUCCCGCUCCUCCUUGCACUGCUCACAUACUGCUCAGGGGUCUGGUUGCAGCCUGUGGUGACCCAGGAGCCCUUGGCAUCAUCAGUGUCCCCAGGGGAGACUGUCACUCUGUCCUGCAGCCUGAGCACCGGAGCCAUCACCAGCAGCAACCAUCCUUCCUGGUACCAGCAGAAACCUGGCUCUCCCCCUCGGUUGCUUAUAUACAGCAACAACAGCAGGCCCUCGGGGAUCCCCACCCGGUUCUCUGGGUCCAUAUCUGGCCAGAAGGCCACUUUGACCAUCACUGGGGUCCAAGCCGAAGAUGAGGCCGACUACUACUGUUCUGUGUGGUGCAGCAAUGGGAACAUGUGUCAUGGUGCUACACCUUGA